UACGGAGGAUGCAAGCGUUAUCCGGAUUCAUUGGGUUUAAAGGGUGCGUAGGCGGACUAUUAAGUCAGUGGUGAAAGCCUGCAGCUUAACUGCAGAACUGCCAUUGAUACUGAUAGUCUUGAGUUUGGUUAAGGUAGGCGGAAUGUGUAAUGUAGCGGUGAAAUGCUUAGAUAUUACACAGAACGCCAAUUGCGUAGGCAGCUUACUGAGCCGACACUGACGCUGAGGCACGAAAGCGUGGGGAUCGAACA
rnacentral:rRNA from 1 species